rnacentral:piRNA from 1 species
UCGAAGGAUGCUUUUGUCAAAGUCCAACUC